GACGAACGCUGGCGGCGUGCCUAAUACAUGCAAGUAGAACGCUGAAGGAGGAGCUUGCUUCUCAGGAUGAGUUGCGAACGGGUGAGUAACGCGUAGGUAACCUGCCUGGUAGCGGGGGAUAACUAUUGGAAACGAUAGCUAAUACCGCAUAAGAGUAGAUGUUGCAUGACAUUUGCUUAAAAGGUGCACUUGCAUCACUACCAGAUGGACCUGCGUUGUAUUAGCUAGUUGGUGGGGUAACGGCUUACCAAGGCGACGAUACAUAGCCGACCUGAGAGGGUGAUCGGCCACACUGGGACUGAGACACGGCCCAGACUCCUACGGGAGGCAGCAGUAGGGAAUCUUCGGCAAUGGACGGAAGUCUGACCGAGCAACGCCGCGUGAGUGAAGAAGGUUUUCGGAUCGUAAAGCUCUGUUGUAAGAGAAGAACGAUUGUGAGAGUGGAAAGUUCACACUGUGACGGUAUCUUACCAGAAAGGGACGGCUAACUACGUG
rnacentral:rRNA from 1 species